UACGUAGGGGGCAAGCGUUGUCCGGAUUCAUUGGGCGUAAAGAGCGUGUAGGCGGCCAGGUAGGUCGGUUGUGAAAACUGGAGGCUCAACCUUCAGACGUCGACCGAAACCAUCUGGCUAGAGUCCGGGAGAGGAGAGUGGAAUUCCUGGUGUAGCGGUGAAAUGUGCAGAUAUCAGGAAGAACACCCGUGGCGAAAGCGGCUCUCUGGAACGGUACUGACGCUGAGACGCGAAAGCGUGGGGAGCGAACAGG
rnacentral:rRNA from 1 species